AGUCACUGACAUUAGAUACCCCUGUAGUCCCAGCCGUAAACAAUGUGCGUUAGGUGUGUCGGUAACCACGUGUUACUGAUGCGCCGAAGAGAAAUCGUGAAACGCACCACCUGGGAAGCACGGUCGCAAGGCUGAAACUUAAAGGAAUUGGCGGGGAGCACCACAACAGGUGGAGCCUGCGGUUUAAUUGGAUUCAACGCCGGACAUCUCACCGGAUAAGACAGCUGAAUGAUUGUCAAUCUGAAGGUUUUACAUGACUAGCUG
rnacentral:rRNA from 1 species